rnacentral:rRNA from 1 species
GAUGAACGCUGGCGGCGUGCCUAAUACAUGCAAGUCGAGCGAACAGACGAGGAGCUUGCUCCUCUGACGUUAGCGGCGGACGGGUGAGUAACACGUGGAUAACCUACCUAUAAGACUGGGAUAACUUUGGGACACCGGCGCUAAUACCGGAUAAUAUAUUGAACCGCAUGGUUCAAUAGUUAAAGACGGUUUUGCUGUCACUUAUAGAUGGAUCCGCGCCGCAUUAGCUAGUUGGUAAGGUAACGGCUUACCAAGGCAACGAUGCGUAGCCGACCUGAGAGGCGGAUCGGCCACACUGGAACGGAGGCACGGUCCAGACUCCUACGGGAGGCAGCAGUAGGGAAUCUUCCGCAAUGGGCGAAAUCCUGACGGAGCAACGCCGCGUGAGUGAUGAAGGUCUUCGGAUCGUAAAACUCUGUUAUGAGGGAAGAACAAAUGUGUAAGUAACUAGGCACGUCUUGACGGUACCUAGUCAGAAAGCCACGGCUAACUACGUG